rnacentral:misc_RNA from 2 species
AACGCACCUUGCGCCUUUUGGUAUUCCGAAAGGCAUGCCUGUUUGAGUGUCAUGAAACUUUCAACCCCCGGGUUUCCGGGUGGCUUGGAUUUGGGUGUUGCCUUCCUAGGCUCGCCUCAAAAGUGUUAGUGGUGUAAGCCCUUGGCCCGACGUAAUAAGUUUCGUCCUGUCCACCGGUGGAGCCGCUCAUAACCCCCAUCUUGCUCUCUGACCUCAAAUCAGGUAGGACUACCCGCUGAACUUAA